CACGUCAUCACAUGGGGACAUGGCAUGGCAUGGCAUGGGGCGGGCCGUUAUGUCCGCUGCGUAGCCAUUGCCCUGAAAAAGAUGCAGAUAACCGGGCAAGGUUUGCCUUACGCAUGGCAAGGGUUUCUCCUCUAACGAGUGGGAGGGGUUUCCCAUCUAACGCGUUGGUAAAUGGUUGACACUGUGCUGGAAAUGGCGUGCCCACGUGCUUCCUGCGCCCCACGCAUUUCCAUCAUGGCGUCCAACCUUGCUGGCGACCACCAUCGCCCCUGCAAUGUCUAAAAUGGAUUCACAUAAAGACAUUAAAAGUCUAGAUUAAAAAUAAAUGAGCUCCGCUAGGGUUUGCAGACGAGUAUCUGGUGGAGGCGAUCUAAAGAAUGGAGGCCAUGAAAAUUAAAUGCGGAUGAAGCAAAUGGAGAUAGCCAUCUGGUUCUACCUGGGUGUUUUGGGGUUAUUUCCCUCUACGAUUUUCUUGGUGGGUUUGGCCGCUUUUCCUGUUCCUGGCUUGGAGGCUGUCGCAUUGGUGUUUUGCUAGCUGAGACAGGUUUAUCAGGUUUGGAUAUCUCUUUCCCCUGCUACUGCCUAUGUGGAGGUCUCCGUGGGUAUUGGCUCUUGGGUACACGGUAUGGUAUUCCAUUUAACUUUCAAUUCCUAAGUAUAUUCGUGAAAGGUGCCAGCAUGGGAGUCCUGACAGAAUUAUGGACCUCAAUGAAGCCUGCAAAUGGAGGAAAAACCAUAGCAUAUGAUCUCAUGGAAUGAGCAGAAAAGAGGAGGGAGGAAUAAAAUGGAUUUGGGGAAGGAUUUUAUAGUUGCCAGGAAAAUAAAAUGGGCAAGUGUAAAAAGACAAAUUCCCCUGACAAUUCUAUUAUAUUCCUUGUGAAAGCCAAAAUGGGGAGCUUGGGAACCAUGUAUGGAAAUCCAUUGACAUGUAAAGGACCAUUGAAUGGCGUGAAGAGGAGAGAACUUGUGCGUUAGUGAACAUUGGGUUGAUGUGCCUGUGGUGCUGACUCGGUCUUGUAGUAUGGUGAUUGUGUGUCGACUUUGUUGAUGUGCUGCGUGGAACCAACCACGAAUAUUGUCUCAUGGAUAAGGAAUUGUGCAGUAUAUGGAAGAAAUGACUAGUGCUAAAUUUGGAGCUCUCGAAGAUGGCAUGGACAUCCAUAAAAGAAUAAAAGAAGGGAGUUGUUGAAAAGGCUUCAAAAACUUUGAAGAAAACGCAAUUGGUAGGUGAAAAGCCAGGCUUCACAGUAGCUGCCAGUAUACUCCCAAAUGAGAUCUAGGCGCUGCCAGACUGUUCAAUAGGUGAUGCAAGGAUGAUCCAAGCCAUCUGUCUGUAGGAUUUUCCUGAUUGUAAGAUACACAAGCCACAUCAGCCUGAUGUGUGAAAUAGCAGGAAAUUGCUGUAUUAGUUUGAAAGAAUGCAUCUGUACAGUAUGUGAAGUUGAUGAUUUCAAACUUGCGACCUUGUGUUUAUGCAACUUUCAUGUUUUAAGUGUAAUUGUGUUUAAUAUCAUUAUAUAAUGGACAUUUACAAGGAAA